rnacentral:rRNA from 1 species
GAUGAACGCUAGCGGGAGGCCUAACACAUGCAAGCCGAGCGGUAGAGUUUCUUCGGAAACUUGAGAGCGGCGCACGGGUGCGUAACACGUGUGCAACCUACCUUUAUCUGGGGGAUAGCCUUUCGAAAGGAAGAUUAAUACCCCAUAAUAUAAUGAUUGGCAUCAAUUAUUAUUGAAAACUCCGGUGGAUAGAGAUGGGCACGCGCAAGAUUAGAUAGUUGGUGAGGUAACGGCUCACCAAGUCAAUGAUCUUUAGGGGUCCUGAGAGGGAGAUCCCCCACACUGGUACUGAGGCACGGACCAGACUCCUACGGGAGGCAGCAGUGAGGAAUAUUGAACAAUGGGUGAGAGCCUGAUCCAGCCACCCCGCGUGAAGGAGGACGGUCCUAUGGAUUGUAAACUUCUUUUGUACAGGGAUAAACCUACCCUCGUGAGGGUAGCUGAAGGUACUGUACGAAUAAGCACCGGCUAACUCCGUG